ensembl:lncRNA
UAAUACAGUGUGUCUGUCCUGGACCUUUGAAGUAAGUGGGAGUUCUGCCACCAAUUUAAACAGGAGAAGGAUUUGAGCCAAUUUGAACAGAAGUUUUCACUUAUCUUAGUGCCUAAUCUUCUUUUUAAAGGGAUGUGGGAGUAUCAGCACCUCCUACGUAAUGCUCAUCAGCGUGCAGAAGUAAACUAGUCUGGUCACUUUUGGAGGCCCCUUUAAAACCAGGAGGAUUACUCAGUGCUUUGUCCCUGGAGAAGCCGAGUUGUCUAGACCUCCUCUACUGUCUCCCUGAAUGGCAAUGUACAGCUGCAGAGUGGCUGACCACGUAUGGCUGAUUUAUCAGGAAACUGGCAGACUCUGACUGUUGUCUUAGGAGUUGAAAAAACUAAGGCAAAUUUACUGUAAGGUAAAGGCAUUUCACUGGAAUACUUCAAGUAAAUCUGUAAAUUAAAGAGGGUAGAAAACUGAUGUUUUCUUCAUACUACGCCUCUUUUUCUUCACUGAGUGCAGAGGAGCCU